rnacentral:rRNA from 1 species
GAUGAACGCUAGCUACAGGCUUAACACAUGCAAGUCGAGGGGUAACAAGAGAAAAGCUUGCUUUUCUUGUUGACGACCGGCGCACGGGUGAGUAACGCGUAUCCAACCUGCCUAUAACUAGGGAAUAACCUUGCGAAAGUAAGACUAAUACCCUAUGAUUUCCUUUGAUGGCAUCAGAUUAGGAAUAAAGAUUUAUCGGUUAUAGAUGGGGAUGCGUCUGAUUAGCUUGUUGGCGGGGUAACGGCCUACCAAGGCAACGAUCAGUAGGGGUUCUGAGAGAAAGGUCCCCCACAUGGGAACUGAGACACGCUCCAAACUCCUACGGGAGGCAGCAGUGAGGAAUAUUGGUCAAUGGGCGGAAGCCUGAACCAGCCAAUUAGCGUGCAGGAUGACGGCCCUAUGUGUUGUAAACUGCUUUUAUACAGGAAUAAAGUUAGCCACGUGUGGUUAUUUGUAGGUACUGUAUGAAUAAGGACCGGCUAAUUCCGUGCCAGCCGCCGCAGUAA